UCGAGAAUUUUUCUCAAUGGGCGAAAGCCUGAAGGAGCGACGCCGCGUGGGGGAUGAAUGGCUUCGGCCCGUAAACCCCUGUCAUUUGUGAACAAACCUUAUCAUUUAAAAGAUGAUGAGCUGAUUGUAGCGGAAGAGGAAGGGACGGCUAACUCUGUGCCAGCAGCCGCGGUAAUACAGAGGUCCCAAGCGUUGUUCGGAUUCACUGGGCGUAAAGGGUGCGUAGGUGGUGAGGUAAGUCCGAUGUGAAAGCUCAGAGCUUAACUCUGAAAUGGCAUAGGAUACUAUCUUGCUUGAGGUUUGGAGGGGGGACUGGAAUUCUCGGUGUAGCAGUGAAAUGCGUAGAUAUCGAGAGGAACACCAGUGGCGAAGGUGAGUCCCUUGACAACACCUGACACUGAGGCACGAAAGCUAGGGGAGCAAACAG
rnacentral:rRNA from 1 species